rnacentral:rRNA from 1 species
GACGAACGCUGGCGGCAUGCCUAAUACAUGCAAGUAGAACGCACAGUUUAUACCGUAGCUUGCUACACCAUAAACUGUGAGUUGCGAACGGGUGAGUAACGCGUAGGUAACCUGCCUGGUAGCGGGGGAUAACUAUUGGAAACGAUAGCUAAUACCGCAUAAUAUUGAUUAUUGCAUGAUAAUUGAUUGAAAGAUGCUAUUGCAUCACUACCAGAUGGACCUGCGUUGUAUUAGCUAGUAGGUGAGGUAACGGCUCACCUAGGCGACGAUACAUAGCCGACCUGAGAGGGUGAUCGGCCACACUGGGACUGAGACACGGCCCAGACUCCUACGGGAGGCAGCAGUAGGGAAUCUUCGGCAAUGGACGAAAGUCUGACCGAGCAACGCCGCGUGAGUGAAGAAGGUUUUCGGAUCGUAAAGCUCUGUUGUAAGAGAAGAACGGGUGUGAGAGUGGAAAGUUCACACUGUGACGGUAUCUUACCAGAAAGGGACGGCUAACUACGUG